CAAAUAGACGCCUUGGCAAAUGGCGGGGUGGAGGGCAUCUGCGCCCCGCGAGGAGGAUAAAGAGGGGUCGCGGGAGUCCGUUGGGGGCUUGUCCCAAAUCUAGUCCAGCCAGUCCUGUGGGGAAUGGAGUGGAAUUAAGGUCUUGAGCUUCUUCACAAGCCCACCUUCCUUCAGCCUGGCAAUCCCCUUUAAGAGCUCUCUGAUCUCUCUUCGAUUGAAGAUCUGCUGCCAGUACCAGUAAAAGUGUGUGUAAAUUA